rnacentral:rRNA from 1 species
AGAGUUUGAUCAUGGCUCAGGACGAACGCUGGCGGCAUGCCUAAUACAUGCAAGUCGAACGCUGAAGCACUCUGCUUGCAGAGUGCGGAUGAGUGGCGAACGGGUGAGUAACACGUGGGAAAUCUGCCUAUGAGUGGGGGAUAACAUUCGGAAACGGAUGCUAAUACCGCAUAGAUUCAAGGACCGCCUGGUCCUUGAAAGAAAGACGGCUUUGCUGUCGCUUAUAGAUGAUCCCGCGGCGUAUUAGUUAGUUGGUGGGGUAAUGGCCUACCAAGACCAUGAUACGUAGCCGACCUGAGAGGGUGAUCGGCCACACUGGGACUGAGACACGGCCCAGACUCCUACGGGAGGCAGCAGUAGGGAAUCUUCCACAAUGGGUGCAAACCUGAUGGAGCAAUGCCGCGUGAAUGAAGAGGGUCUUCGGAUCGUAAAGUUCUGUUAUUAGAGAAGAACAAGUCGAGGAGUAACUGUCUCGACUUUGACGGUACCUAACCAGAAAGUCACGGCUAACUACGUGCCAGCAGCCGCGGUAAUACGUAGGUGACAAGCGUUGUCCGGAAUUAUUGGGCGUAAAGGGAGCGCAGGCGGUUGGAAUAGUCUGAUGUGAAAGCCCACGGCUUAACCGUGGAAGGUCAUUGGAAACUGUCCACUUGAAUGC